GAUGAACGCUAGCGGCAGGCCUAACACAUGCAAGUCGAGGGAGAAGCCCUUUCGGGGGCAGAAACCGGCGCACGGGUGCGUAACGCGUAUGCAACCUACCUUUCACAGGGGGAUAGCCCGAAGAAAUUUGGAUUAAUACCCCAUAAUAUUAUUGGAUGGCAUCAUUUGAUAAUUAAAACUGCGGUGGUGAAAGAUGGGCAUGCGUCCUAUUAGCUAGUUGGAGUGGUAACGGCACCCCAAGGCUACGAUAGGUAGGGGUCCUGAGAGGGAGAUCCCCCACACUGGUAUUGAGACAGGGACCAGACUCCUACGGGAGGCAGCAGUGAGGAAUAUUGGUCAAUGGUCGGAAGACUGAACCAGCCAUGCCGCGUGCAGGAAGAAUGCCUUAUGGGUUGUAAACUGCUUUUAUAUGGGAAGAAUAAGGCGUACGUGUACGUUGAUGACGGUACCAUAUGAAUAAGCAUCGGCUAACUCCGUG
rnacentral:rRNA from 1 species